AGAGUUUGAUCCUGGCUCAGGAUGAACGCUGACAGAAUGCUUAACACAUGCAAGUCUACUUGAUCCUUCGGGUGAUGGUGGCGGACGGGUGAGUAACGCGUAAAGAACUUGCCCUGCAGUCUGGGACAACAUUUGGAAACGAAUGCUAAUACCGGAUAUUAUGUGAGUUUCGCAUGAAAUUCAUAUGAAAGCUAUAUGCGCUGCAGGAGAGCUUUGCGUCCUAUUAGCUAGUUGGUGAGGUAACGGCUCACCAAGGCGAUGAUAGGUAGCCGGCCUGAGAGGGUGAACGGCCACAAGGGGACUGAGACACGGCCCUUACUCCUACGGGAGGCAGCAGUGGGGAAUAUUGGACAAUGGACCAAAAGUCUGAUCCAGCAAUUCUGUGUGCACGAUGAAGUUUUUCGGAAUGUAAAGUGCUUUCAGUUGGGACGAAGUAAGUGACGGUACCAACAGAAGAAGCGACGGCUAAAUACGUGCCAGCAGCCGCGGUAAUACGUAUGUCGCAAGCGUUAUCCGGAUUUAUUGGGCGUAAAGCGCGUCUAGGCGGUUUGGUAAGUCUGAUGUGAAAAUGCGGGGCUCAACUCCGUAUUGCGUUGGAAACUGUCAAACUAGAGUACUGGAGAGGUGGGCGGAACUACAAGUGUAGAGGUGAAAUUCGUAGAUAUUUGUAGGAAUGCCGAUGGGGAAGCCAGCCCACUGGACAGAUACUGACGCUAAAGCGCGAAAGCGUGGGUAGCAAACAGGAUUAGAUACCCUGGUAGUCCACGCCGUAAACGAUGAUUACUAGGUGUUGGGGGUCGAACCUCAGCGCCCAAGCUAACGCGAUAAGUAAUCCGCCUGGGGAGUACGUACGCAAGUAUGAAACUCAAAGGAAUUGACGGGGACCCGCACAAGCGGUGGAGCAUGUGGUUUAAUUCGACGCAACGCGAGGAACCUUACCAGCGUUUGACAUCCUAAGAAAUUAGCAGAGAUGCUUUUGUGCCCCUUCGGGGGAACUUAGUGACAGGUGGUGCAUGGCUGUCGUCAGCUCGUGUCGUGAGAUGUUGGGUUAAGUCCC
rnacentral:rRNA from 1 species